UACGGAGGGUGCAAGCGUUAUCCGGAUUCACUGGGUUUAAAGGGUGUGUAGGCGGGCUAUUAAGUCAGUGGUGAAAUCUCCGGGCUCAACUCGGAAACUGCCAUUGAUACUAUUAGUCUUGAAUAUCGUUGAGGUUGGCGGAAUAUAUCAUGUAGCGGUGAAAUGCAUAGAUAUGAUAUAGAACACCGAUUGCGAAGGCAGCUAACUAAGCGAUGAUUGACGCUGAGGCACGAAAGCGUGGGGAUCAACAGG
rnacentral:rRNA from 1 species